UACGUAGGUGGCGAGCGUUAUCCGGAAUUAUUGGGCGUAAAGAGGGAGCAGGCGGUAAAAAAGGUCUUGCGCUAAAAGGCAUCGGCUUAACCGGUGUAAGGCGGAGAAACCGUUUUACUAGAGUUCUAUAGAGGAUCGUGGAAUUCCAUGUGUAGCGGUGAAAUGCGUAGAUAUAUGGAGGAACACCAGUGGCGAAGGCGACGAUCUGGAUAGAAACAGACGCUGAGUCCCGAAAGCGUGGGGAGCAAAUAGG
rnacentral:rRNA from 1 species